CAACCCUCAAGCCCCCGCGGUUUGGUGUUGGGGGCCGGCGAUUGUCAGCUGGGCCGCUCAGGCGGUUCCCUGCGGCGCCGCCCCCGAAAUGAAUUGGCGGCCCCGUCGCGGCCUCCUCUGCGUAGUAGCACAACCUCGCAACAGGAGCGCGGCGCGGCCACUGCCGUAAAACGCACAAACUUCUCCAAG
rnacentral:misc_RNA from 1 species